CUUCCUUUUUCAUAUUUGUUUUUCUUCUCUUUUUCUCUCUUUAGCCGGCUGUCCAGACUCUCUGCUUAAAGAGCUUUACCAUUUCUGAAUCCUCGGAGAGGAUCAGUGCAUUUCCAGAAAAGAAUCAUCAAUAUGCACAAGAACAGAAGAAGGAGUCCCAUUGCGUGGAGUUUAAGGAUAAGCCAUUCAUAUCUAUGUAUCCUCUCAGUGGCCUUGGGAUCACCUGCCAAUUUAACCCAUAAGGUUCCCCUUGGGUGAAGUAUUGGUUGCUUCCCAGGCUUAGAGGCAGAUCGGUUCGAUCUCAUCUCUGUGAGGGCGGCUCUCUGCGCGCCAAGGGGAAAACCAUGUACUCUCAAAGCAAUCUCUAAGUCACAAAGUGUUCCCGAGGUUCUCCUCCACACAGCCCUUGCUCCUGUCCCAGUCUGUUUCACUUGCUUAUUAGUAAGAAGCAAUACACAAACACACUGGUCGUAAUACACAUAGUACCUUUGAAGUGUAAAAUUAGCUUUACAAAAAUAGCAUGACACAA